AUUGAACGCUGGCGGCAUGCUUUACACAUGCAAGUCGAACGGCAGCGCGGGCUUCGGCCUGGCGGCGAGUGGCGAACGGGUGAGUAAUGCAUCGGAACGUGCCCAGUAGUGGGGGAUAGCCCGGCGAAAGCCGGAUUAAUACCGCAUACGACCUGAGGGUGAAAGCGGGGGACCGAAAGGCCUCGCGCUAUUGGAGCGGCCGAUGUCGGAUUAGCUAGUUGGUGGGGUAAAGGCUUACCAAGGCGACGAUCCGUAGCUGGUCUGAGAGGACGACCAGCCACACUGGGACUGAGACACGGCCCAGACUCCUACGGGAGGCAGCAGUGGGGAAUUUUGGACAAUGGGGGCAACCCUGAUCCAGCAAUGCCGCGUGCGGGAAGAAGGCCUUCGGGUUGUAAAGCGCUUUUGUUAGGGAAGAAAUGCUAUGGGCUAAUCCCCCGGGGGGAUGACGGUACCGGAAGAAUAAGCACCGGCUAACUACGUG
rnacentral:rRNA from 1 species